rnacentral:rRNA from 2 species
AAAUUGAAGAGUUUGAUCAUGGCUCAGAUUGAACGCUGGCGGCAGGCCUAACACAUGCAAGUCGAACGGUAGCACAGAGAGCUUGCUCUCGGGUGACGAGUGGCGGACGGGUGAGUAAUGUCUGGGAAACUGCCUGAUGGAGGGGGAUAACUACUGGAAACGGUGGCUAAUACCGCAUAACGUCGCAAGACCAAAGAGGGGGACCUUCGGGCCUCUUGCCAUCAGAUGUGCCCAGAUGGGAUUAGCUUGUUGGUGAGGUAACGGCUCACCAAGGCGACGAUCCCUAGCUGGUCUGAGAGGAUGACCAGCCACACUGGAACUGAGACACGGUCCAGACUCCUACGGGAGGCAGCAGUGGGGAAUAUUGCACAAUGGGCGCAAGCCUGAUGCAGCCAUGCCGCGUGUAUGAAGAAGGCCUUCGGGUUGUAAAGUACUUUCAGCGGGGAGGAAGGUGUUGUGGUUAAUAACCGCAGCAAUUGACGUUACCCGCAGAAGAAGCA